rnacentral:rRNA from 1 species
UACGUAGGGGGCUAGCGUUGUUCGGAAUUACUGGGCGUAAAGCGCACGUAGGCGGCUUUGUAAGUUAGAGGUGAAAGCCCGGAGCUCAACUUCGGAAUUGCCUUUAAGACUGCAUCGCUUGAAUCAUGGAGAGGUCAGUGGAAUUCCGAGUGUAGAGGUGAAAUUCGUAGAUAUUCGGAAGAACACCAGUGGCGAAGGCGACUGACUGGACAUGUAUUGACGCUGAGGUGCGAAAGCGUGGGGAGCAAACAGG